UACGAAGGGGGCUAGCGUUGCUCGGAAUCACUGGGCGUAAAGGGCGCGUAGGCGGCCGAUCAAGUCGGGGGUGAAAGCCUGUGGCUCAACCACAGAAUUGCCUUCGAUACUGUUUGGCUAGAGACUGGAAGAGGUUAGUGGAACUGCGAGUGUAGAGGUGAAAUUCGUAGAUAUUCGCAAGAACACCAGUGGCGAAGGCGGCUAACUGGUCCGGUUCUGACGCUGAGGCGCGAAAGCGUGGGGAGCAAACAGG
rnacentral:rRNA from 1 species